rnacentral:rRNA from 1 species
UACGGGGGGAGCAAGCGUUGUUCGGAUUUACUGGGCGUAAAGGGCGCGUAGGCGGCCUCCGCAAGUCGACUGUGAAAUCUCCGGGCUUAACUCGGAAAGGUCAGCCGAUACUGUGGGGCUAGAGUGCAGAAGGGGCAACUGGAAUUCUCGGUGUAGCGGUGAAAUGCGUAGAUAUCGAGAGGAACACCUGCGGCGAAGGCGGGUUGCUGGGCUGACACUGACGCUGAGGCGCGAAAGCUAGGGGAGCGAACGGG